rnacentral:lncRNA from 1 species
CCAAUCUAAAUAAAUACGGUAUGGUUUGAUUCAUUCAUCUUAUAUUUAUCAAUAUAAAAUUACAUAUUUAUACUAUAAUGACUAUCCAUGUCCUUCAAAGUACUCUAAGGACAACAAUCUCAAAAUAUAAGUUAAAUUUUCAAUUUUUUUAAGUAUACGCUUAAUUAACUCUAUUCAAUGCAUCGGAAUAUGAAAAAACUAAAACAUAGCAUAUCAAUAUAUAAAAGAGUAUUUUAUAAAAAUAUAAUCUUACAUAGAAGGUUGAGUUUAAGGAUAGAUGGUUCAUCGAAUAACACUAGUACAUGUUUUAUUUAAGAUAUUGUAUUGUCCCCUAGAAAGGACCUCCAAAUCCUAUUUCACCGCCGUCUCUAUUAUGACGACCUCUGUGUCCAUGUCCAUUGCCUUUGUCUCCUCCACCUAUUUGUAUUUGCCCAUCUUUCCAUGACCAUUGCACUCCCCAUUUCGAUAACCAACUUAAAUUAGUUUCUGAUAAAUCAUCUUUUGAUGGCUCGGUUGCCACAACACUGAUAAUAAGGAGAGCACAAAUGAAACAAGCAAAACUAAUAAACUUCAUUUUCACCCUUGCUACAAUAUCUAAGUGUUUGUUGUAAACUAUCAAUGCUAUUGACAAGUAUUUAUAGUGUCAUGAUCAUGCAUGGGAAAAAUA